UACGGGGGGGGCAAGCGUUGUUCGGAAUUACUGGGCGUAAAGGGCUCGUAGGUGGCCAACUAAGUCAGACGUGAAAUCCCUCGGCUUAACCGGGGAACUGCCUUUGAUACUGGCGAUCUUGAGUCCGGGAGAGGUGAGUGGAACUGCGAGUGUAGAGGUGAAAUUCGUAGAUAUUCGCAAGAACACCAGUGGCGAAGGCGGCUCACUGGCCCGGUACUGACGCUGAGGUGCGAAAGCGUGGGGAGCAAACAGG
rnacentral:rRNA from 1 species